GAGGUGUUAGUUCAAUUGGAAGAACACUUGCCUUUCAAGCGAGAGGAUGCGGGUUCAAGUCCCGUACACCUAA
rnacentral:tRNA from 2 species